UACGGAGGUGGCAAGCGUUGCUCGGAAUCACUGGGCGUAAAGGGCGCGUAGGCGGGGAGGUAAGUCAGGGGUGAAAUGCCAGGGCUCAACCUUGGAAUUGCCUUUGAUACUGGAUGUCUGGAGUUCGGGAGAGGUGAGUGGAAUUCCGAGUGUAGAGGUGAAAUUCGUAGAUAUUCGGAGGAACACCAGAAGCGAAGGCGGCUCACUGGCCCGAUACUGACGCUGAGGCGCGAAAGCGUGGGGAGCAAACAGG
rnacentral:rRNA from 1 species